rnacentral:rRNA from 1 species
AUCGGGAUAACACCUGGAAACAAGAUGCUAAUACCGGAUAACAACAGAUGAUGCCUAUCAACUGUUUAAAAGAUGGUUCUGCUAUCACUCUUGGAUGGACCUGCGGUGCAUUAGCUAGUUGGUAGGGUAACGGCCUACCAAGGCGAUGAUGCAUAGCCGAGUUGAGAGACUGAUCGGCCACAUUGGGACUGAGACACGGCCCAAACUCCUACGGGAGGCAGCAGGC